UCUUUAGGGUUUUUGAUGUGAUGAACUUUCACGAGCUGGCUCUCUGAAUCCAUGCCCAAUCCAGCCCAAAGUCCAUCAUCAAGACUUGGAGCAUUUCAAUGCAAAGCCUAAGCCCAAGUUUCUCUAUUUGCUUUAGUAUUUGGAAUGGACAUUAGGGCUCUGAAGUCUCUUAAGCAUAUGCAAAGGCCUUCAAGUGACUAGAGAAUUAGAAGUACAUAGAGAGGUAACAUUUUCGAAACACUAGUUCGUUGGUUUAAUGAAAAUAUGUUAGCUUCCUGCCCCACCCUCAUUUAUUAGACGUAAUUUCAUUUUUGCCCUUUCAUGAACUAAAAACCCUAAGAACGCUACUCUCUCUUCACUCGCCUCUGUCGUGCCUCACGACUCCCCCUCUUUUGUG
rnacentral:lncRNA from 1 species